rnacentral:rRNA from 1 species
UACAGAGGUCCCGAGCGUUGUUCGGAUUCACUGGGCGUAAAGGGUGCGUAGGUGGUGGCAAAAGUCUGAUGUGAAAUCUCCGGGCUUAACCCGGAAAUGGCAUUGGAAACUUUGUCGCUUGAGGUUUGGAGGGGGGACUGGAAUUCUCGGUGUAGCAGUGAAAUGCGUAGAUAUCGAGAGGAACACCAGUGGCGAAGGCGAGUCCCUGGACAAAACCUGACACUGAGGCACGAAAGCUAGGGGAG